GUACAUAUGACAGGACGCUCUGAGGAUUCAGGGGAUGAUCCGUGUAUUGUUGUUAUUAGAUGUGUUAUGUAUAUCUAUAUCAUUUUAUUUCAUUCAACUUUAUUUUGUUUUCAUUUAUCAGUCUGAAUCCUUUGCUUUUUGGCUCUUGAGGGAAUUUUCCCAAGGAGGGAUCAAUACAGUUUAUCUUAUUUCUUAUCUUAAAUAUAAAUAUGUCUUGUAUGACAGUGAAGGUUUGUCUCUAGCCUAUAUCCUAAUUUGUGAAGUAGUUUGAUGUUUUCUAGAGAAUAGUGAUCGUACGAAUCGUGUGUUUUAUUAAGUGAAGUGCUGCUUAAUGUAGAUGAGAUUUCCGUUUGUCUGUCUGACUGUCUCUGUCUGUCAUGCGUUCCAAGAUGCAUGCGCCUCACAAUCCGAUACAAAGAAGCACUGCCUUUGCGUUGCUACGUGUGCAGCACUGCUCCGACCAAUGAGCAAUGCAACCGGAAUAACCAAACCUGCCCGCCAUUGGAGAACCGCUGUUUGACCAUCAUAGACAUUCGAGGCUCUUCCAGGACCAUCUCCAAACAGUGUGCCACCCCGUCCACCUGCACGGGGGGUUGUGACCACAUCGGGGCUGGACGCGAACGGUGACGGCGUCCUGGCAGAAUGCUGCAGAAACAGUAACCUCUGUAAUGUCAACGGGGCCGGUAGCAUCUCCGCCCGCAAGGCCCUGCCGGCGCUGUCCCUGCUGGUGCUGCUGGGACUGGUGGCGCAGUAAGACGUUCACAGAGGCGCACUUAUGCAAUACGUCACGUAUCGCAAAGUGAUUUUAUCAUGGGUGUUACCCACUGUCUUAUAAUUAUAUACUCUAUCGAAUGCUGCUUUGAUUCAUCAUGAGGAAACCCGUUGGACUUGCUAGAAGUUCAACUGGUUUGUUUGGUUUAAUCUUUUGAUAAUGGGAGAACGCAGGUUUUUGAAGCGAGGGACUCGGUUCUGGGGUGACCGGAGGAAAUGUUGGCCUACAGGACAUGGAGCAGAGAGAGGUUAAAUAAAUAAACACAAUUAAAUGGAGAAAUAGUGACCAGGUCCCAUUGAUCACUAGCUGCUGUUUCAUUACAGCCCUGAUGACUUAUUACACUACACACAUCAGUUAGUAUCGGUGGCUACGUUUUUUUAAUUGACUGUUAACCUUUAUACAUCAUUAUUAUUUACUUUAAAUAUACUUCAAUUGAAAUGGUUGCGUCCUUGGAAAAAAUAAAUGUGUGUUGUGAACAUCAGCAAUAUUUGAUCAUAAUUUCACUUGAAUACCCUGCUCAGAAAUAGGACUUUCAAUAAGAAUCUUAUAAAAUAUAUGUAUAAAGAUGCAGACACUAAGGAGACUUGUAUGUUGGCUGAUACUUAAUAAAAGCUUCAAACAGA
ensembl:lncRNA